AGAGGGUGCAAGCGUUAAUCGGAGUUACUGGGCGUAAAGCGUGCGUAGGCGGAUAUUCAAGUCGAGUGUGAAAGACCCCCGGGGCGUUAACCUGGGAACUGCGCUCGAUACUGAAUGUCUAGAGUAUGGGAGAGGAAAGUGGAAUUUCCGGUGUAGCGGUGAAAUGCGUAGAUAUCGGAAAGAACACCAGUGGCGAAGGCGGCUUUCUGGCCUAAUACUGACGCUGAGGUACGAAAGCGUGGGGAGCAAACAGGAUUAGAGACCCUGGUAGUCCACGCCGUAAACGAUGAGAACUAGAUGUUGGUUCUGCUAUUGCAGAAUAAGUGUCGAAGCUAACGCGUUAAGUUCUCCGCCUGGGGAGUACGGUCGCAAAGAUUA
rnacentral:rRNA from 1 species